rnacentral:rRNA from 1 species
CAGGCCUAACACAUGCAAGUCGAACGAGACCUUCGGGUCUAGUGGCGCACGGGUGCGUAACGCGUGGGAAUCUGCCCUUGGGUCCGGAAUAACUCUCCGAAAGGAGUGCUAAUACCGGAUGAUGACGUAAGUCCAAAGAUUUAUCGCCCAAGGAUGAGCCCGCGUAAGAUUAGGUAGUUGGUGAGGUAAAGGCUCACCAAGCCGACGAUCUUUAGCUGGUCUGAGAGGAUGAUCAGCCACACUGGGACUGAGACACGGCCCAGACUCCUACGGGAGGCAGCAGUGGGGAAUAUUGGACAAUGGGCGAAAGCCUGAUCCAGCAAUGCCGCGUGAGUGAUGAAGGCCUUAGGGUUGUAAAGCUCUUUUACCCGGGAUGAUAAUGACA